GAUGAACGCUAGCUACAGGCUUAACACAUGCAAGUCGAGGGGCAGCAUGGUCUUAGCUUGCUAAGGCCGAUGGCGACCGGCGCACGGGUGAGUAACACGUAUCCAACCUGCCGUCUACUCUUGGACAGCCUUCUGAAAGGAAGAUUAAUACCUGAUGGUAUCUUAAGCACACAUGUAAUUAAGAUUAAAGAUUUAUCGGUGUACGAUGGGGAUGCGUUCCAUUAGGUAGUAGGCGGGGUAACGGCCCACCUAGCCAACGAUGGAUAGGGGUUCUGAGAGGAAGGUCCCCCACAUUGGAACUGAGACACGGUCCAAACUCCUACGGGAGGCAGCAGUGAGGAAUAUUGGUCAAUGGACGAGAGUCUGAACCAGCCAAGUAGCGUGAAGGAUGAAGGUCCUACGGAUUGUAAACUUCUUUUAUAAGGGAAUAAACCCUCCACGUGUGGGAGCUUGUAUGUACCUUAUGAAUAAGCAUCGGCUAACUCCGUGCCAGCAGCCGCGG
rnacentral:rRNA from 1 species